GGGGAUGUAGCUCAAACAGUAGAGCGCUUGCUUUGCAUGUGAGAGGUGCGGGGUUCGACACCCCGCAUCUCCA
rnacentral:tRNA from 1 species